rnacentral:rRNA from 1 species
GUAACCCGGCGGACGGCUCAGUAACACGUGGAUAACUUGCCCUUGGGUCUGGGAUAACUCNUGAGAAAUUGGGGACAAUACCGGAUAGGGCAUCGAUAGCUGGAAUGCGCGAUGUCCAAAAGCUGAGGCGCCCAAGGAUAGGUCUGCGGCCGAUUAGGUUGUUGUUGAUGUAAUGGAUCAACAAGCCUGCAAUCGGUACGGGUUGUGAGAGCAAGAGCCCGGAGAUGGGUUCUGAGAAAAGAACCCAGGUCCUACGGGACGCAUCAGGCGCGAAAACUUUACAAUGUGCGAAAGCACGAUAAGGGAACUCUGAGUGCCUCCUAUGGAGGCUGUUCAGGUGUCUAAAAAGCACUUGAAGUAAGGGCUGGGUAAGACCGGUGCCAGCCGCCGCGGUAACACCGGCAGCCCAAGUGGUAGCCACGAUUAUUGGGUCUAAAGCGUCCGUAGCCGGCCAGGUAAGUUCUUUGGGAAAUUUAACCGCUCAACGGUUAAGCUUUCAGGGAAUACUGCUUGGCUUGGGACCGGGAGAGGUCAGAGGUACUUCAAGGGUAGGGGUGAAAUCCGUUAAUCCUUGAGGGACCACCAGUAGCGAAGGCGUCUGACCAGACCGGGUCCGACGGUGAGGGACGAAGGCUAGGGUCGCGAACCGGAUUAGAUACCCGGGUAGUCCUAGCUGUAAACGAUGCGGGCCAGGUGUUGGCAUUACUGCGAGUGAUGUCAGUGCCGAAGGGAAGCCGUUAAGCCCGCCAUCUGGGGAGUACGGUCGCAAGGCUGAAACUUAA